rnacentral:lncRNA from 1 species
UUUUAACUUGUUGUUUGUAGUCCUGAUAUGGCUGUGAAACAAAUUUUGAGCAAAGCAGUUUGAGGCAGUUACAGCAUACACGAGUGGUCUUUGGUAUGUCCAACGAACAAAGGGAAAGUUUGAGGUUUUAUAAAAAGGAGUCACAUGUAUUGUUCUGAAAGUUCAUUAGCACUUGUAAAGUUUUGGGGACCUGGCAAGUUCUGAUUGGUGAGUGUUGGUGGUGGGUAAAAAGUCUUAUAGUAGAAGCAGGUUGUUUCAAUAGCUAUUAGAUCUCCCUUUACAUCAUAAAAAUGGAAACUUGCUUCUGUAGAACAUUUUCUAGUGUUCCUGGGAUUCUGAUAGUCUUGGACCUGAGCCUUAAAUGUUCUUUACAGCAUUCUGCCUCAUAGAAGCUAUUGGC